rnacentral:rRNA from 1 species
AUGACCAUUGGCCCAGAGCUCUCGGUAGAGGCGCUAUUGCAGUUCUUGGGGCUGUGGGCCAGAUUGGAUGAGGUGCAGCUCAUUGAUGGAGUUGAUGACACGGUGCAGUGGAGUUGGGAGAGCAACGGCCAGUUCUCGGCGCGGUCGGCGUAUGCGGCAAGGUUCUCGGGUCUUCAGGUUUCGCCGGAGGCCGAGGUUACUUGGAGUUCUCGAGAACCUCUCCGUUGCCACUUCUUCAUGUGGUUAGCACUAAAAAAUAGGUGUUGGACCUCGGAUCGAUUGGCUAGACGAGGGCUACCUUGUCAAAGCGCCUGCCCCCUUUGCGACCAAGAGGAGGAAACCAUCGAGCACCUCAUGCUAGGGUGUGUGUUUGCAAGGCAAAUCUGGCAUUGGUUGGGCUGA